rnacentral:rRNA from 1 species
UACAGAGGUCCCAAGCGUUGUUCGGAUUCACUGGGCGUAAAGGGUGCGUAGGUGGUCGGAUAAGUCUGAUGUGAAAUCUCCGAGCUCAACUCGGAAAUGGCAUUGGAUACUAUUCGGCUGGAGGGUUGGAGGGGGGACUGGAAUACUUGGUGUAGCAGUGAAAUGCGUAGAUAUCAAGUGGAACACCAGUGGCGAAGGCGAGUCCCUGGACAACUCCUGACACUGAGGCACGAAAGCGUGGGGAGCAAACAGG